GUCCAUGCCGUAAACGAUGAGAACUAGGUGUUGGAGGAUUUGACCCCUUCAGUGCCGUCGCAAACGCAUUAAGUUCUCCGCCUGGGGAGUACGGUCGCAAGAUUAAAACUCAAAGAAAUUGACGGGGGCCCGCACAAGCGGUGGAGCAUGUGGUUUAAUUCGACGCAACGCGAAGAACCUUACCUGGACUUGACAUCCGCGGAAGUCUGCAGAGAUGUGGACACGCCUUCGGGAGCCGCGAGACAGGUGCUGCAUGGCUGUCGU
rnacentral:rRNA from 1 species